rnacentral:rRNA from 1 species
GUUAUUCAGGGCGUACGGUGGAUGCCUUGGCAUGCUGAGCCGAUGAAGGACGUGUGAGGCUGCGUUAUGCCUCGGGGAGUUGUCAACAAAGCGUUGAUCCGAGGAUGUCCGAAUGGGGGAACCCAGCACCGGUUGUGUGGUGUUACCUGCAGAUGAAUGCAUAGUCUGUGUGGAGGUUGACGCGGGGAAGUGAAACAUCUCAGUACCCGUAGGAGAAGAAAACAAUUGUGAUUCUGCUAGUAGCGGCGAGCGAACGUGGAUGAGGCUAAACCAUGUGCGUGUGAUACCUGGCAGGGGUUGCGUGUGUGGUGUUGUGGGGUGCAGUGUUUCUGGGCUGCUGACCAGGAGCGUGCGCGUGCGUGUUAGCGGAAGCAUCUGGGAUGGUGCGCCGGAGUGGGUGAGAGUCCUGUACGUGAAGGCGUGUGCGUGUGUGUUGUUGUUGCCCCGAGUAGCAGCGGGCUCGUGGAAUCUGCUGUGAAUCUGCCGGGACCACCCGGUAAGCCUAAAUACUCAGUGUGACCGAUAGUGGAUAGUACCGUGAGGGAAUGGUGAAAAGUACCCCGGGAGGGGAGUGAAAGAGUUCCUGAAACCGUGCGCUUACAAUCCGUCAGAGCACUUCUUGUGUGUGAUGGCGUGCCUUUUGAAGAAUGAGCCUGCGAGUCAGCGGCAUGUCGCGAGGUUAACCCGUUAGGGGUAGUCGUAGCGAAAGCGAAUCCUCAUUGGGUGUUGUUAGUGGCAUGUCCUGGACCCGAAGCGGGGUGAUCUACCCAUGGCCAGUGUGAAGCAGCUGUAAGAGGUUGUGGAGGCGCGAACCCACGUAGGUUGAAAACUGCGGGGAUGAGUUGUGGGUAGGGGUGAAAGGCCAAUCAAACUCCGUGAUAGCUGGUUCUCCCCGAAAUGCAUUUAGGUGCAGCGUUGUAUGAGCUUGCCGGAGGUAGAGCUACUGGUUGGUUGAGCGGGACUAUCAUCUUAGCAACAUCAGCCAAACUCCGAAUGCCGGUGUAAGUGUUGUACAGCAGUGAGACUGUGGGGGAUAAGCUUCAUAGUCGAGAGGGAAACAGCCCAGAUCGCCGGUUAAGGCCCCUAAGGGUGUACUAAGUGGAAAAGGAUGUGGGAUCGCGAAGACAGCCAGGAGGUUGGCUUAGAAGCAGCCAUCCUUGAAAGAGUGCGUAAUAGCUCACUGGUCGAGUGGUUCCGCGCCGACAAUGUAGUGGGGCUCAAGUACACCGCCGAAGCCGCGGCAACUUUUUUGAAGUUGGGUAGGGGAGCGUCGUGCAUGGUGUGAAGCAGUACCGUGAGGGGUUGUGGACUGUGUGCGAGUGAGAAUGCAGGCAUGAGUAACGAGUGUAAGGUGAGAAUCCUUACCGCUGGAUGACUAAGGGUUCCUGGGUCAAGUUCGUCUUCCCAGGGUGAGUCGGGUCCUAAGGCGAGGCCGACAGGCGUAGUCGAUGGUCAACGGGUUGAUAUUCCCGUACCCGUGUGUGUGCGUCAAGUGAUGAAGCGGUGAUACUAACCACCCUGAUCGCUGGCCAUGGCACUACUUUGUGGUGCUGGGUUGG